rnacentral:misc_RNA from 1 species
CCAAUAGCGUAUAUUAAAGUUGUUGCAGUUAAAAAGCUCGUAGUUGAAUUUCGGGAUCAAUAUAUCGGUCAUGCCAUUGGUACGUACUGGUAUCAUUGGUUUCUCCUUUCUGACGAACCAUGAUGUCAUUAAUUUGGUGUUAUGGGAAGUUAGGACUGUUACUUUGAAAAAAUUAGAGUGUUUAAAGCAGGCUUUAGCUUGAAUACAUUAGCAUGGAAUAAUGAAAUAGGACGUUCGAACCUAUUUUGUUGGUUUCUAGGAUCAACGUAAUGAUUAAUAGGGAUAGUUGGGGGCAUUAGUAUUCAAUUGUCAGAGGUGAAAUUCUUGGAUUUAUUGAAGACUAACUACUGCGAAAGCAUUUGCCAAGGAUGUUUUCAUUAAUCAAGAACGAAAGUUAGGGGAUCGAAGACGAUCAGAUACCGUCGUAGUCUUAACCAUAAACUAUGCCGACUAGGGAUCGGAUGAUGUUAAUUUUUUAAUGACUCAUUCGGCGCCUUACG